ACGAACGCUGGCGGCGUGCUUAACACAUGCAAGUCGAACGGAAAGACCCUGCUUUUGUGGGGUGCUCGAGUGGCGAACGGGUGAGUAACACGUGAGUAACCUGCCCUUGACUUUUGGAUAACUUCAGGAAACUGGGGCUAAUACCGGAUAGGAGCUCCUGCUGCCUGGUGGGGGUUGGAAAGUUUCGGCGGUUGGGGAUGGACUCGCGGCUUAUCAGCUUGUUGGUGGGGUAGUGGCUUACCAAGGCUUUGACGGGUAGCCGGCCUGAGAGGGUGACCGGCCACAUUGGGACUGAGAUACGGCCCAGACUCCUACGGGAGGCAGCAGUGGGGAAUAUUGCACAAUGGGCGGAAGCCUGAUGCAGCAACGCCGCGUGCGGGAUGACGGCCUUCGGGUUGUAAACCGCUUUCGCCUGUGACGAGGCGUGAGUGACGGUAAUGGGUAAAGAAGCACCGGCUAACUACGUG
rnacentral:rRNA from 1 species